UGCAUACGACAGGGGCGUCCCGGUACUGCCGGGGCUGAGAAGCACCCUUUGAACCUGACCCAGAUCAUGCUGGCGUAGGGAGUCGCGGCCACCCUCCG
rnacentral:ncRNA from 2 species